CCUACGGGGGGCAGCAGUGGGGAAUAUUGGACAAUGGGGGCAACCCUGAUCCAGCCAUGCCGCGUGUGUGAAGAAGGCCCUCGGGUUGUAAAGCACUUUCAGUGAGGAAGAACGCCUGGUGGUUAAUACCCAUCAGGAAAGACAUCACUCACAGAAGAAGCACCGGCUAACUCCGUGCCAGCAGCCGCGGUAAUACGGAGGGUGCGAGCGUUAAUCGGAAUUACUGGGCGUAAAGCGCGCGUAGGUGGCUUGAUAAGCCGGUUGUGAAAGCCCCGGGCUCAACCUGGGAACGGCAUCCGGAACUGUCAAGCUAGAGUGCAGGAGAGGAAGGAAGAAUUCCCGGUGUAGCGGUGAAAUGCGUAGAGAUCGGGAGGAAUACCAGUGGCGAAGGCGGCCUUCUGGACUGACACUGACACUGAGGUGCGAAAGCGUGGGUAGCAAACAGGAUUAGAUACCCUGGUAGUC
rnacentral:rRNA from 1 species